UACGUAGGUGGCAAGCGUUGUCCGGAUUUACUGGGCGUAAAGAGCGCGCAGGCGGUCGUUCAAGUCGCGUGUGAAAGCCCCCGGCUCAACUGGGGAGGGUCACGCGAUACUGAUCGACUCGAAGGCAGGAGAGGGUAGUGGAAUUCCCGGUGUAGUGGUGAAAUGCGUAGAUAUCGGGAGGAACACCAGCGGCGAAGGCGACUACCUGGCCCGGUACUGACGCUGAGGCACGAAAGCGUGGGGAGCAAACAGG
rnacentral:rRNA from 1 species